GACUUCCUACGGGAGGCAGCAGUGAGGAAUAUUGGUCAAUGGUCGGGGGACUGAACCAGCCAAGCCGCGUGAGGGAGGAAGGUACAGAGUAUCGUAAACCUCUUUUGUCAGGGAACAAAGGCGGGGACGUGUCCCCGGAUGAGUGUACCUGAAGAAAAAGCAUCGGCUAACUCCGUGCCAGCAGCCGCGGUAAUACGGAGGAUGCGAGCGUUAUCCGGAUUUAUUGGGUUUAAAGGGUGCGCAGGCGGUCUGUUAAGUCAGCGCUCAAAGCCCGGGGCCCUACCCCGGCCC
rnacentral:rRNA from 1 species